rnacentral:misc_RNA from 1 species
GUGGGAGCUGGCUUGCCAGCGAUGACGGCGUCACAGUCGAAAUCAAUAUUGACUGACCUGACACCAUCGCUGGCAAGCCAGCUCCCAC